rnacentral:rRNA from 1 species
UACGUAGGUCCCGAGCGUUGUCCGGAUUUAUUGGGCGUAAAGCGAGCGCAGGUGGUUUAUUAAGUCUGGUGUAAAAGGCAGUGGCUCAACCAUUGUAUGCAUUGGAAACUGGUAGACUUGAGUGCAGGAGAGGAGAGUGGAAUUCCAUGUGUAGCGGUGAAAUGCGUAGAUAUAUGGAGGAACACCGGUUGCGAAAGCGGCUCUCUGGCCUGUAACUGACACUGAGGCUCGAAAGCGUGGGGAGCAAACAGG